ACAGCAUUUACCACUGAUGUUCCGCUGCCUCAGAUCUUUGCUUUUACUCUCCUAUUACUUUAUUUGGAUCUCUGCUUAAUUACUGCCUUCUUAAAAAGUUCUUGGCUGAUAACACUACUUAAAAUACUUUCUUACCUACAAUUACCUCUAAAUCAUCACUCUGUUUUAUUUUUAGUAAAUUGCACUUCCAACUACCAGAAUUUAUGCUGCAUAUCUCUUUAUGUACAUGUUUAUUAUCUGUCUCUCUCACUAGAAUAUGUCCACCAACGGAUUGGGAUCUUACCUGUGUCUCUGAUCAUUUUGUUAGGAUUUUACCUGUGUCUCUGAUCAUUUUAUCUCCAGCAACAUUGUUUGUGAGAUUAAUGUUGGGUAAUAGAUGAGAAAAAUGGAUGGAUGGAUUAUAUGUAAGUCAAUGUAUGAAUGUGUGAUGGUUGGCAGAUGAAAAUGAAUAUAUCCUUUAUUAAAGGCAUGUAAGUUUCCAUGCAGAGGGAAACAAGCCUGGAUACAUAAGAAAGAUUUAGAUUAUGGAGUACCUGGUAUGGUGAAGUUAGACUGACUUUAGACUAGAGACGCUGAGUUUCAAGAAAUUCACAAGUCACAGGAUUUAAAGGUGCCUAAUAGACAUCUAAAUCUUCUAGGCAAGGAAACUGAGUUUAUGCCGCUAACCUAGUAUCACACUGAUGGAGUCUUGCUCUGUUUCGCCCAGACUGCAAGGCAGUGGCGCGAUCUCGGUUCACUGCAACCUCCACCUCCCAGGUUCAAGCGAUUCUCCUGCCUCAGCCUCCCGAGUAGCUGGGACUACAGGCGUGUGCCACUGUGCCUGGCUAAUUUUUUGUAUUUUUAGUAGAGACAGGGUUUCACCAUGUUAGCCAGGAUGGUCUCGAUCUCCUGAAUUCGUGAUCUGCCCUCCUUGGCCUCCCAAAG
rnacentral:lncRNA from 1 species